AUCUUCAAAAUAUAGAGCUGGUAUGCUACUUCAUUUUACUGCUGAUGUAUAAAAGAACAAGAACCUAGAGCAAACUGAGCAAAUCCUCUUAAAAGUUAAACACAUGGCUAAUCUACUAAGGCAAAUAUUCCAACUUCUUGGAUGCCUUACAAGGCCCAAGGAAUAAAGGCUAAGAAAGAAAUCUUUGGUCACACAAAAACAGAAAUUAAAUCGGCAAUAUACAGCUUUUCUAAAGAAUUUACACAAUUAAGUCAACAAAACAAAAAUUAAGUAUAAAGAUGUUUCAGGGUGCCCGGAAGAAGAAGAAGAAGAAGAAGAAAGAAGGGAAAGAAAGAUCUCACAGGUGAAAAAAGAACCCUAGAAACAGCACUAAACCAUUUAAGCUUUGCAAUUAUUCUGGUAAACAGAUGAUGACAGUGAGAAUAAAACUGGGGAAAAAAAAGAUUGCUAAAAGGAAUCUCAAGAAGCAGUAAUGACUGAUACUGGGAAAUGCAAAAGGCAGUAAGAGUUUGCAAGGUCUCAGAAAGUCAAGUGCUGAAACAGAGGACAUUUCUAUCAGUACACCACAAUUAAAGAAGUUCAAACAUGACUGAUAAGCACACUUCCAGUUCAAAAUGGCCCAUUAAGCACACAAGUUUACCUUCUUUACCUUAAAGUAGGUCCUAUGUUAAAAUUACUAUAAUGGAGGAAAACAAAUACAACAGGAAAAGAGUCACCAUCAUCAGCAAGGGGUGAUGUCAACCCACAUUUAUCAAGAAGUAAAGAAAAAAACUUUUAUUGAGUGUGCACAAAGGAACCUAACAGCUGAGGAUGGGACUGAUCCACCCCUGAAUCUUGGAUUACAGACCUGUACUUGAAAAAGCCACACAUGGCAGAGGGCAAAAGUGAAACUUUUCAAAGAUCAAUCGCUAUGAAAAGAAAGUUACUAAAGGAAAUCCUAAACAAUGUACUA